rnacentral:lncRNA from 1 species
AUAAUCAAUGACAAGUCGAAUAUCCCUCGACUGACCGUAGCCUAAUCAGUAUAAUUCCAAUCCGACCUUGAUCGUUUUGGUAUUUUUCAUUCCGCUUAGUUAGGACUAAGUCGGCAUAUUAGUCUUUCGAUGAUAGUCAGCUUUUACAAUGGAGAGCCAACAUUGGGAACCGAAGUAUAAUCGAUGAUUCAGCUUUUGCGGUAAAAGCCUGUGUAGUCGAUGUCGCUUAAGAUUACAGUCGGUAUGUUGAUUUUUGUAUGAGAACCA